AUUGAACGCUGGCGGCAUGCCUUACACAUGCAAGUCGAACGGCAGCACGGGUGCUUGCACCUGGUGGCGAGUGGCGAACGGGUGAGUAAUACAUCGGAACGUACCUUAUCGUGGGGGAUAACGCAGCGAAAGUUGCGCUAAUACCGCAUACGCCCUGAGGGGGAAAGCGGGGGACCGUAAGGCCUCGCGCGAUUAGAGCGGCGGAUGUCUGAUUAGCUUGUUGGUGAGGUAAAAGCUCACCAAGGCGAUGAUCAGUAGCGGGUCUGAGAGGACGAUCAGCCACACUGGGACUGAGACACGGCCCAGACUCCUACGGGAGGCAGCAGUGGGGAAUUUUGGACAAUGGGGGCAACCCUGAUCCAGCAAUGCCGCGUGAGUGAAGAAGGCCUUCGGGUUGUAAAGCUCUUUUGUCAGGGAAGAAACAGCAGCUCUAACACAGUCUGCGAAUGACGGUACCUGAAGAAUAAGCACCGGCUAACUACGUGCCAGCCGCCGCAGUAA
rnacentral:rRNA from 1 species